GAAGCAUGCAGUAUGUGUAAUCAAGGGACCAAGAUCUUGGAAAUAUCUGAGAGCUUGCAUCGUGUGAUGAUAUAAAUUAAUUCCAUGUACACCUCUGAUUAUCCAUUAUGCAUAUAUUUCACCCAUGAGAAAUAUCUCUAGUCAUUUCUUUAUCUGUGGGUGCAAAGGCUGAUUAAUAAAGAACAUCCAACAAAGUAACAGAUAAUUUUAUGAAGACUAGGGUAUUCAAAGAAAAAUGUGUCUAGGGAAUAUUCAGAAAGAUCAAAAGCUUUUUUUCUUCAUAAUGCUAUUAGGCACUGAAAGUAAAACAAUAAAUUUUGCAUCAAAGUACCACACUCUCAUUGCAGCAUGAAUAAAAACCAAUCUGAUUUACAGCAAGGUUGCUGAACUGCUGGCCUGUGAGCUCUCUGGCCUGAAGGAUGAAUUUGUCUGAGGUGCUUUUCCUGCCAGUGGUCACUCUCUCAAGGCCCAAAAGCUUCAAGUGAGAUCAACAGAGAACUGCUAACUUCUCCUCCCUGCCAGUGGCAUUAGUGUAACAACGGUUUGCUUCCAAAGGAGAAAUCUGAAAGUCCUCAGAAAGGGAGCUUGGUGGCUGUGACACUGAGGUGGGAGUGCAACUGCGGAGGUGAGUGGAGCCUCAGAUAAAGGUUUGGAAAACCUAUAAAACCUGAUGAGAACAAAGAAGCCCCGAAUUGCUGCGGGAACACUUUGGAUCUUAAGGAGCUGAGUCUGAAUGAAGUAUACUAAUUCCAGUUUCCCACAUCUCCUGGGACAGCUGGUCAAAAGACUGCAGAGACAGCACGGCUCCCAUCAACCUCCGUUUAGGGGAGCUCGGGGACCCUGCUGCUCCCCCCUCCCCCAGCGCGCAUACACCCCCUUUGACGGAGCAUCCCAUCAUCUCCAUCAGCACCACCCUCCUCAUCUUCUCGCAGAAGACGCCCAAAGGAUGAGACAAGACCGCAAGGAGAAGAGUUAACAGGGGAAUUGAUAACCCGGCCCUUUUUUCCCCGCCUCCUCCUCCUGCCUGAGGGGAAAAGGGGGGGGGAUCGGGACCCGCCGACC